UGAGGAAUUUUGGGCAAUGGGCGAAAGCCUGACCCAGCGACGCCGCGUGGAGGAUGAAGGCCUUCGGGUCGUAAACUCCUGUUCUGGGGGAAGAAAACGGGAUGCGUGAAUAAUUCAUCCCGCUGACGGUACCCCAGGAGAAAGCUCCGGCUAAUUACGUGCCAGCAGCCGCGGUAAUACGUAAGGAGCAAGCGUUGUCCGGAUUUACUGGGCGUAAAGAGCUCGUAGGCGGCCGAUCAGGUCUCGCGUAAAAUCCCCCGGCUCAACCGGGGAGAGUCGCGGGAAACCGACCGGCUUGAGGACAGAAAAGGAAAGUGGAAUUCCCGGUGUAGCGGUGAAAUGCGUAGAUAUCGGGAGGAAUACCAGUGGUGAAGACGGCUUUCUGGUCUGUUUCUGACGCUGAGGAGCGAAAGCCAGGGGAGCGAACC
rnacentral:rRNA from 1 species